CCUUGUCGAAGCGCUGUACCUCCUCCCACGGCGCAAGACGCCGAUCGGUUCACUCCUCCUCCCAGGACCGAUCUAGUUCAGAGACCCCGAUGCACCUCCUCCCGCAUCGGGGUCUUUCU
rnacentral:sRNA from 17 species